GUUGAGGUUAGAAUUAAAAUCUGAUUUUAUUACUUUGUGCCUGUGCCAGUUAGUGACCACUUUACAGAACUGCCUCCAGGGCAAGAUUCAUGACAAUAAAUAAAUCUGCCUCCCAGUCAUCCCGUCCUUAUCUUUACAAGGCUGCAGAACAUACAAGCUAGUGAUGUGGGGGUUCUCUCAUAACCCUCAGUCCCCAGGUGGGUAGAUGGCAGGUUGAAUAAAGAGAAGCUAGUGAUGUGGGGGUUCUCUCAUAACCCUCAGUCCCCAGGUGGGUAGAUGGCAGGUUGAAUAAAGAGAAGCUAGUGAUGUGGGGGUUCUCUCAUAACCCUCAGUCCCCAGGUGGGUAGAUGGCAGGUUGAAUAAAGAGAAGCUAGUGAUGUGGGGGUUCUCUCAUAACCCUCAGUCCCCAGGUGGGUAGAUGGCAGGUUGAAUAAAGAGAAGCUAGUGAUGUGGGGGUUCUCUCAUAACCCUCAGUCCCCAGGUGGGUAGAUGGCAGGUUGAAUAAAGAGAAGCUAGUGAUGUGGGGGUUCUCUCAUAACCCUCAGUCCCCAGGUGGGUAGAUGGCAGGUUGAAUAAAGAGAAGCUAGUGAUGUGGGGGUUCUCUCAUAACCCUCAGUCCCCAGGUGGGUAGAUGGCAGGUUGAAUAAAGAGAAGCUAGUGAUGUGGGGGUUCUCUCAUAACCCUCAGUCCCCAGGUGGGUAGAUGGCAGGUUGUAUAAAGAGAAGCUAGUGAU